UACAGUCGAGUCAAAUUCAGUCCCUGUUCCUGCCGUAGCAGAGGUUGACCCAUGUGGCUACCCCAGCGAGCUCUGCAGCUCUCUGACCUGGGGCCUGGAGAUAAGUUUGGCUGCAGACAUUG
ensembl:snoRNA